rnacentral:piRNA from 1 species
ACAUCAAGUAUGGCCCAGGCGGGAUGG